rnacentral:rRNA from 1 species
CACCUUCAAAAAAGCGUCAAAGCUUAGAUACACAUACCUUAAUUUAUUUACCCAUAUUGAACCCUUUAAUUGUACUGAGAACUUCUAUACUAUAUAGAAUUUUUUAUGCUAAAACUAGUAACAAGAGAUACCCCUCUCCCUAGUGUAAAUGUAAGUCAGCAAGAACCCAUCACUGACAACUAACAGAUUUAAACAAAAGUAGUAACUCCACAAGAAAACCCCACUUUUUCUCCUGUUAACCUAACACAAGAACACUUCAAGAAAGAUUAAAAGAAAAAGAAGGAACUCGGCAAAACCUAGCCCCGCCUGUUUACCAAAAACAUCGCCUCUUGAUUACCUCUAUAAGAGGUCUUGCCUGCCCAGUGACUCUGUUCAACGGCCGCGGUACCCUAACCGUGCGAAGGUAGCGUAAUCACUUGUUUUCUAAAUAAAGACCAGUAUGAAAGGCGUCACGAGGGUUAAACUGUCUCCUCUUUCUAAUCAGUGAACCUAAUCUUCCCGUGAAGAAGCGGGAAUUACCCCAUAAGACGAGAAGACCCUGUGGAGCUUAAAACAUCAUAACACUGCUAACAAAUACCAAUAUUCAGAUACCCCCUCCCUCAAAGCACGAUGAUUAUAAGUUUUUGGUUGGGGUGACCGCGGAGAAAAAUUAAACCUCCACUAUGAAAAGAGCCCUCCUUAACAAUAAGCUACAACCUUAUGUAUCAACAAAUUGACAUUAUUGACCCAACAAAUUGAUCAACGAACCAAGUUACCCCAGGGAUAACAGCGCAAUCCACUUUGAGAGCUCUUAUCGACAAGUGGGCUUACGACCUCGAUGUUGGAUCGGGAUAUCCU